UGUUUACAAUAAUUACUUUUCACUAAACAUGGCAGUCAUUUCGUGCGACAUGGUACUUUAAUCGGUUUCGACAUUUCAUUUCUUACUCGGCCGAGGCGGCGAAAUGUUACGGACAAUUUUAUUUUCAGUAUUAUUACCAACUAUGAUGACAGCCAAUCAAAAGGAUCCAUAUUUCUACCGUAUGCCAGUUUACCCAAUGUACGCUAGAACUGGACCACCAUACAUCGAAAAUCUAGAAACUCAUACGAAAACACCUGUUAUUCAGAGUUCUCAAGCAAACGAACCACAAAACAUAUCUCCUAACGAAUACACAUUUACUGCAAAACCGGUUAAUUCCGAACCGGUUCCUAGAAAUGGAGAUACAGAACAACGGAAAUCUGAUAAGACCAUACCCGCAUACAUCUUAAAAUCUGUGGAACUGAACAAUCAUGAUAUUUAUGAAAAUGAGGUAAAUAUAAAUGAUAUUUUUUCAAAUAUCAGACCAUCUCAAAUACACAGAAUACAGGUACCAAUAAUAAGCAAAGAACCGGUUAGUAAAGAAAUGUUAUCAUUUGUCCGUCCUGGACUUUUAAAAAAUUGGUUACCUGUGUCUAACAAAAAAACGGUAAAUUACCCCACAAAGGAACAUAAUUUACGGCUAACUUACAGACCACCGCUAAGCGGAUUAUCGCUACCGCUAGAAAACAUAAAACCGGUAAUUAAACCAGUAAACGAACUGACGGUAUUACCCAGCAAAUAUGACAAUUACGAUCAGGUAUACCCGUUGCCAUUAUUAUCCCAAAAACCGUUUAGUAAAAACUUUCACAAAGACAAAUUGCUGAAGCAAAAAUUGGUAUCAUUGCUUCUGUCUUCAAAAAAAGAUUUAGAAAAGCAAGUAAGGGACUUACAAUCUAUCCAUGAUACAAUGAAGUCGGAAACGAUGUACAAGAUCGGAUACCUCACGAGUCACAUGAACAAGAUGAAUAAACAUAUAAAUAUGUUAUAUAGAAGUGUACAGGAUAAUCAUCAUAAUUGGGACGCGCUUCAAAUUUUGGAAGCAUAUGAAGAGGUAAAAAAGAACAACGAUACGGUCCGAGAGCUGCUGAGCGCGAUGCGGUCAUACCUCAGAUCUAAGAAGAAGCCAGUCGGAUCGCGCGUUGAAAAAAGCCCUCACGGUUACGGUA